AGUCGAGGGGUAACAUAGAAAAGCUUGCUUUUCUGAUGACGACCGGCGCACGGGUGCGUAACGCGUAUACAAUCUACCUUAUACAGGGGUAUAGCCUUUAGAAAUGAAGAUUAAUCCCCCAUAGUCUCUUUUAAUGGCAUCAUUUUAAGAGUAAAGGUUACGGUAUAAGAUGAGUAUGCGUUCUAUUAGUUUGUUGGUGAGGUAACGGCUCACCAAGGCUACGAUAGAUAGGGGCCCUGAGAGGGGGAUCCCCCACACUGGUACUGAGACACGGACCAGACUCCUACGGGAGGCAGCAGUGAGGAAUAUUGGACAAUGGGCGCAAGCCUGAUCCAGCCAUGCCGCGUGCAGGAAGACUGCCCUAUGGGUUGUAAACUGCUUUUAUACAGGAAGAAACCUUGGUACGUGUACCAAGCUGACGGUACUGUAAGAAUAAGGAUCGGCUAACUCCGUGCCAGCAGCCGCGGUAAUACGGAGGAUCCAAGCGUUAUCCGGAAUCAUUGGGUUUAAAGGGUGCGCAGGUGGUUUAUUAAGUCAGUGGUGAAAGACGGUCGCUUAACGAUUGCAGUGCCAUUGAUACUGGUAGACUUGAGUGAAUUAGAGGUAGGCGGAAUUGAUAGUGUAGCGGUGAAAUGCAUAGAUAUGACUCAGAACACCGAUUGCGAAGGCAGCUUACUAACAUGUAACUGACGCUGAGGGACGAAAGCGUGGGGAGCGAACAGGAUUAGAUACCCUGGUAGAAGGGC
rnacentral:rRNA from 1 species